CGUCCUUGUUGGUAUCGCGGCAGCGCGAUGCAGCAGCUUAUUGAUAUAUUCCAUUUCCCGUGGACACGUAGAGUUCACUGUGCGUGUCUAGCGACCAGUUCGUCGUCCACUGAAGCGAAUCAGCUGACGCCUAAGCGAACCUCGCGGAUUUCUUUCAGAAAUUGCGCAACUGUUGCUGUUCGCUGCGACUAAUAAUAAAAUAUAGGGGCAGGGAGCGCGAAGGAUUUUGUUUUGCUGGAUCUUGCGCCAGUCUCGAGCGAGUAUCCAUGCCAAGAACAGUUAUGAGCGAACCGGUGCUCGUCUAGUCGAGGCAAAAACUUGCACGAAGAAUCAUCGACACUGUUACGUGGUCUCAGCGCGCCGCAACAAGUCACCGUGGUAAUUUGCAGGAGACACCUUGGAUAUCGACAGUUUGUACAGAUUUUCUAAUUCUAUUCCCGUUUUUAGAUCUAUUUUAAUCCCAAUCUGGUUAAUUAUAAUUAUAAUCUGUUAAUCUUACUGUGUUUGUUUUUACUUCGCGUAUGUUUGAUAAAGACCAUCUCAAGGCAAAUUUCUAAAUUGGGCAUCCCUAUCUUACCAAAUUGAGUUUCGAAAUGGUGACCUUUAAUCUCGUGCAUCGUGUCUCGGGGGGGAGAUUCGCGCCUCACCUUACGUAAACCACUGAUUUCAAGAGAAUCUUUAGUCUAUCGAUCGUUGAGCACUUGGUGCUCAGUGUGAAUGUAAAACGAAGCGUUUCGGAGCGAUUCAAAGUAGAGUUUGGACUACUUGUCGACUCUUUUUAUAUUCGAACACUUCAGUGAUUCAAAUAUUCCACAAAUAUGAUUGGAGUGUUUUACACGUAUGAUGAACAUUUAAAUCGUAUGAUGUGGACUAUAUAAAUCAAGUUCUUCAAAUUCAUUAUUCUUAUUUGAGCUACCAUAUUCGACUACACUGUUUGAAUAGCGGCACUUGAAUACUGAAACAUUGCUUUGUUCGUAACACUUGCACGCCUAUAAAAUAUACUAAGCUUAAUUUUAUUCGGAUAGUCCCAGCCCUAAUUCAAAGCGAUUUAUUACGAGAUUACCUUGCGGACAAAGUUCCCCAUGACUUCCCAAAGGACCUCCACUUUCGGCUGUCACUGGCGGGCCGAUACGAACCCAUAUUUACACGCGGGUUCAUGGAACCCCACGUCGUGAACUUUCUCACUUCCCCACCUAUGCAUCCUCGCCCCUGACACGCUUAUUUUCGACCAUACCGAAACAUCUUUCGUUUGCCAUUCACCCCUUUCCGCUUUUGUGUAUUUUUUUCCCGCCCGUUUCUUCUCAUUUCUACAGCCGUAGGUUUGCUCCAGUUUCCCCGUUGAACAAGCUCCUCGGACGGAACCGAUUGUUUUUAAAAAGGGGGCCAUUGUUCACUUUAUCGCAAUCAAUGCGGAGUGUUUCCUCGGAAUAAUUGUGAAGUUUUGUUAACCUUGGAGUUAAAAUGGAACUCCGCUUUAUUAGAAAAUAAAGUGGAUUAAUUUCCUAAUAACGUACAAUUUUAAUAGACCUCCAAAAGGCAUAGCCUUGAUUCGAGGCGGCGCCUCUUAGACAGAAUUCACCGUAUACUGGCCUACUUUGCCUGAUCAAAUUUGGUAUGGUGACUUUUUUCAAGUGGGGACACAUCGAUGCCAAAUUUGUCAAGAAACCUCAAGAAGAACACUUUUACACAGGCAAUUAAGGCGCCUUUCAAAAGCACGAAACUGAUUGACAUCAUACUGUAAACAGACGAACGCGAAUACCGUAUGUAAGUGAACAAGUGCAACGAAACCAGGGAUGGAUCUACCAUAAAACUAUAAAAUACUAUUCGAACGACGAUUCGACACCUUUGGUAGGGUCGAACAAUUUCAUAAUAAUAAUUUUCUAUUCGUAAUUCUCAUUUCAGAAAAGGAAAGAGCUCGAUAUAAUUAGCUCCCAUGCCUUGAUUAGUCUAGAUCCGUCACUGAGCGAAACAAAGGAGCAGGCGUGCAUUGUUUACCUACGACAUUUUUCAAACGCGAAAAGCAGCUGGUAACAAAAGAAGCUCAUCCCACACUCUCGUAAGCGUACAAUGAGUAACUUCGAUUAUGGACUCGCGGGAAAUCGAUCGAAGUACCAACACCCACGCAGUCUGUUCGUCUCCACGAUAGAUUCCCCGGAAAGACCACGGCACUCACCGAAGGUGACGAUCAACGGAAGAUAUCUCUGGCAGAAAUUCUAAUAUUAGCGCAGCGCAUUCUCCAGUCGAUACUCUAGACAUCCACCACUACCACUGGCUGGCACGCGCGACAGAGAUGGAAUAUAAGUGUGAGUAUGCGUGUGUGCACGCGACGAAGCUUGCGCUACUGGGAAAACGCUGCACAGCGUCUCACCUCACCUUUGGAAAGAACGAUUUCGCAAUCCCGUGACCAGGCGUCGCGGUUAGACGGCGUCGAACGUGAACCGUAAAUCUAUGCCGCAAAAUAAGACAACCGGCAACGUGAGAGUCAUCGCCACCGUUCUGCUACGAUAAUACGCGUACUAACACUUGCUAUGCCCUACUGUCCUAACGCCGAACCGCGCACACGCCGCACAGGGCAUUAUGCUACGGAGAUCACCAACUAUGGAAGUGGUGGGAUACGACGAUUCGAGGCACGUCAGAGGUGCGACCGGCGUGGCGCUAUCUGGAGUGACACGUGGAUACUCGUUAAUCUCAGGCUCGAAUACUCUGCUGGUAAAUUGAGCUUCGAUCGAGAAAAAUUGAAUUUUAAUCCGUUCGUAUCCGAGAGCAUUUGGUAUGAAGUAAUGGUGUACAAGGCUUGAGCCUUAGGGAUCUUUAGCUCAUACCUCAAACUAUAUUUGGCUUCUGAAAUUAAUUCUAUCAUUAGUGAACGCUACUAGAGUUCCAACUGUAUCUACUUUGAUGUGAGAAAUCGUAAAAUUGUCAUAAACAGAUUGCACAUAGGCUAUAUUACUGCUUUAAAACCGUAAUUGGAUUAAAUCACGCGGUAGGAGGUCGAGGCUCAACCUUCAAAGCUGAGUCCUCAAAGCUUGCGUAUAAUGCUAGUCUUCAAGGCUAGUGGGUUAUAGUAUUUGUGGCUUGAAACUUGGCUCGAGCUUCCCAGUCCAUCUCAACACAUUGUCAACAGGGGUCAUUGACAAUAGAGGUAUUUAAAACACCUGAAAACUGUAUGUAUAAAAUUAAUAUAAAUUUCUACUUUUCAGAUUAAAAGCAACUAUUCUUUAUGCGUGAAAGUUGUGUAGAACAUAUCUGUACAAUAUCUGAAUUAAAGAUGUAAAACUACUACACAGUUUUAGACGAGUAUCUUUAAUGAAAACUUUUAGUUACGUUAAUUUCGAUUUUAUGUAGAUGUAAUGCCAUUACUUCUAACGAUAUGUAUCCUCUAAAUAGUGGAUAAUGAAUAUAUUUUUCAAGUU